rnacentral:SRP_RNA from 1 species
GCUGGGCAUGGUGGCGGGCGCCUGUAGUCCCAGCUACUUGGGAGGCUGAGGCAGGAGAAUCGCUUGAGCCCAGGAGUUGAGGUUGUAGUGAGCCAAGACUGUGCCACUGCACUCCAGCCUGGGUGACAUGGUGAGACUCUGUCUCAA